GUCAAUGGUUGCUAGAAUUGUCACAAAUUCGUGAAAUAACAGAGGUUUCAAGCUUCAGUGAGAAUGCUAAGUUUUAUUUGGAGGAUAUUAUUAGCAACUUUAGUAAAGAUGAUGCGUUGGAAGUGAAAAUUUUUGAAAAAGUUACUGACCAUUAUGUUAAAGCAGUCGAGUACUUCUUGAAACAGAGAUGUCAAUCCAAUACAGAGAUUGCUGAGGUACUGGAAUUUUUCCAUUUUGCGUGUUCAUCAGAGGAUAUAAAUAAUUAGGCCCAUGCUUUGGCACUAAAGGGAGCAUUCGACACUGUCAUAUUCCUGAUCAUGAUUGAGUUGGUGAAAGCAUAUCCAACCUGGCAAAGGAAAAUUCUCAUAUACCCUUGUGGUCUCGCACCCGUGGAUAGGAUGAUGAGGAAGAAGGUGAAGAAGGAGAAGAAGAGGGCUUGAGUAA